UCCUUCGUGGAAAAAACAGACGAUUGGCAUGCCCCUUGAUAAGGAUGGGAGUAAUCUAUGGAAUUUCCUUUUGCACAUGGUUAAGUCAUCGUAUUUCCUCUAUGGUAGACUGUUCACCAAAAUUUAGC